rnacentral:rRNA from 1 species
UCGCAGCUUCUGCUGCUACUUUGGAUAACUUCGCUAACGCGAAGCUAAUACAUGUAAGCACAGCGAGCGGUCACUUAUGCCGGUUCGCCGGUUCGAUCGUCUCGUGCUAAUGGUUGGAACAAAAACCAACGCCAGCAAUGGCAGUUUUUGUAAAGUGUUGACUCAAACCAUUUAGCCCAAGCACGCUUCGGCGUGCGUGCCCCGAUGAGUCUCUGACCUAUCAGCUUUGACGGUAAUGUAUUGGAUUACCGUGGCGAUCACGGGUACGGGGAAUUAGGGUUCGAUUCCGGAGAGGGAGCCUGAGAAACAGCUACCACUUCUACGGAGGGCAGCAGGCGCGUAAAUUGCCCAAUGCCAAAUUUGGUGAGGCAGCGAAGAGAAAUAGCGACCCAGACCUUCGGGUGUGGGAUCGGAAUGGGUGGUAUUUACAACCACCAACGAGUAACAAUUGGAGGACAAGUCUGGUGCCAGCACCCGCGGUAAUUCCAGCUCCAAUAGCGUAUAUUAAUGUUGUUGCUGUUAAAGGGUUCGUAGUUGA